rnacentral:rRNA from 1 species
AGGACGAACGCUGGCGGCGUGCUUAACACAUGCAAGUCGAACGGUGAGCCAGGGCUUGCCCUGGGGAUCAGUGGCGAACGGGUGAGUAACACGUGACCAACCUGCCCUUGGCUCUGGGAUAACCCCGGGAAACCGGAGCUAAUACCGGAUACGAGUCCGUAUGGCAUCACACGGACUGGAAAGUUUUUUGGCCAAGGAUGGGGUCGCGGCCUAUCAGCUUGUUGGUGGGGUAAUGGCCUACCAAGGCGACGACGGGUA